CAGAGCCAGCGCAAGGAAGGCAGCAGGAACGCACUGCUGCAACCAGGGGAGAAGGCAAGACUACAGCAGCCAGCAGCUACAUCGACUUAGAUUAUGAAGGAGCCACCCACUCGGUCCACUUGUGGUCCACUGUAGCUCAUGCCACCUUUGCCCAGCACCCACCUAGCAGAGCACUACCUGAGUCAGAGGAGGUUUUAAUGGAUGGAAAAAUUCCAAGAACUGUGCAAAUGACCAUGGAAAACAACUGAGAUCACUGAUUAGCCACAUCUUCAUUGAUUUCUAGAAUGAAAACAGUAGCAAAACAAAUUUUUGUAAGGUACAAUACUAUCACAGUAAAGAUCGAUCCUGAAAAGAUCCCUAAAAUCACUGAAGUAUAUCGUCGUGCUAUCAGCAGAGUAUGAUCCACCAUCCAGUGGCAUGAAUAAAAAUAUUCUCCAGGAAUGUAAACCAUCUUGGAAUUACAGUUUUACCAGCCUGAAGUUGGCAGCUCUCGGAGACGGGCGCUGGUGUGGCACCGAAGGCUGAGUCUCCGAGGGCCAGGUUCCAGCAACCCGACUGCAGCACGCUUCAGAGAUGCCUCAGAAAAGAAGGCAUUUACUAGUCAAGGGUUUCUAAGAACAUGUAAUAGAGGUGACUGAAUGUCCAGUGACUGCAGGCCGUGGCUCUGCUGCGCUUUGCUACUGGGUCAGGAUGCAGUCUGGCUGCACCCCUGUCAUACAGGCACAUAUGAAAAAAGAAACUGAAAUCACAAAGAACACGAAGAAGAUCCAUCCUGCCGGUGACCUGGUGCCAGCUGAUUUCCCCACAGGAUUUUUAGACCUUGCUGGGACAGCCUCUGUUCUCCAAAGCUAUGAUCCACAGAUGCAUGGAGUUGCAUCGCAGUGCUGGGAAAGGAGGAAGAAGACAACAGACUCCACACCAGGCAAUCUGAAGUGUUUGUACUUAGACCACCAGGGAUCCUGUGGAAAGUACUGAGAUCACAGUCACUGCUUCAGGAAACAUACACUCCUCAGAAACAUCAAAAUCCUCUCAUUUUCAAACCCAUCACCCCUUCCUGACCACAUUCUCCUCUGGAAAGUGGCCACCUCCCUUAGAAAGCAGAUAGUAAGUGCACACCUAGCUAACUCAUGAGAGGGAGUAAAGAGACCCUAGACAGCUGAAAGCAGCUUCAGAAAUUGUCUAGUAGAUGGGAGCUUGUGCACUGCUUUCCCUGCACCAUGGCCUUUGGCAUCUAUCCAAUCAAAGUAUUUACUCAGACUGUAUGUAUUCAGCACAGACUCUCUGAUAGCUCGCUCACCUUUAUGCUGAGAGACUGCUGGUCCUAUAUUCUCCAAGAAAGGUACCUCAGAGGAAAAUGGAAGGAGGAUUGGGUUGCCUUUGAGCUGGUGAAUACAAAGAAUGUAAAAAAUAGGCAGAAAAUCACAGCUGGCCAUCUUGGGUCUUUUCUGAGUUCCCUGUGAACAACUGGUUUCUCUUUCCCUUACAGGCAAAGAAAUGUUUCAGGAAAUGUUUUUGGCAUUUUCCAGAGCAGAAGAGAACUAUAACUUUGCCCUAUAAUUGAAUUUAGAGUAAUUCACAAAAGCGUAUGACCAACCAAACAAAAACAUGUACUUGUUUCAUCUUUUGCACGCCACAAGUUGUUUUAUUUUCUCAAAAUUUACUGGGGCACAAAAUGCUUAUUCCAAGUCAGAUAUUAAAUUUGUUUCUGAUCUUUCUGGAGAAGUCAAGUAUAUUCUUCUUCCAGCUUCCUAUGCCAGAUGAACAUAUUGUUUACAAUAUCUGUGCUAGCAAUCACCAAGAGCUCAGAUACAAAACUCACACCUUCAUUCAACAGCCUUUAAUAAUGUAGUACUAAAGGUCGAGCUUGUAUUUAAGCACUUUAAUGAAAAGAACUGGACUUGAUUUGAUGCUUACAUGUGUCCCUUGAAUGGCACUUUACUGAACAAAUACAUUCAUAAUUAAAGGAUCUCCUUUGCCAGUUAUUGCAAGUUUUAAUUAUUAAAUGGCAAAUGCAAACUUUGCAAUUACAACUCUCAAUUACAAGUCCCAUCUUUUUCUGCAAGUUACAGAAGAAAAUGAGGUAUGGUCUUUAAGUGAAAAAGAACACCAGUUAAGAAUAAGACACUGACCUGAAUUCAUGGAAAUAUUUGUUCAUCAUUUUUAACUAUAAAUGGAAACCUUACUAUUUCUUUAAUAGUAUUAUACACCAGGAUAAAUUUUGAAAUUGUUGUGUAUAACAGUACCUUUCACAUCAGGAAGCCAAAGAAGAAUCAAGUCCCUUAUGUAACCAGAUAUGUGAAACAACAGCAUCUUCUAUCCCAAAAGCAGGCACUGAGAAUCACAGAAUCUUAGAAAUGUUGGUGGGAAGGGACUGCUGGAGAUCAGGUAAUCCAGUCUCCCACUGUCACUUCUACUAGUUCAGGUCAGUCACGGCUUUGUGCAGCUGAGUUAUGGAUACCUCUGAGGAUGGAGAGGCCACAAACCCUUGAGCAACCUGCAUGACACUUUUAGUAAAGGAGUUUUCCCUAACAUCCAAUCUGCAAACUGUGGCUGUUGCUAUACCAUCUUGUUAUACUGUCUGCCACUAUCAAGAAGUGUUUUGGCUUCAUCGCCCUGGUAACUACCCUUCAAGUAGCUGUAGGCUGCUAUUAGAUUUUCCCUUUGCCUCCUCUUUUCCAGAUUAAACAAGUCCAGCUCUCUCAACCUCUCCAUGUUAGUCAUGUGCUCUACACCCCUGAAUAUCCUGUUAAUCCUCUGCUGGAUCUCCUCUCCCAUCUUAAUGUUCCUCUUGGACUGGGAGGCCCCAAACUGGACCAUUAUUUCAGGUGCAGUCCCACUAGAGUCGGGUAAAAGGGGAUAAUAACUUCCUCAAUAUCCUAGGCCAUGCCCUAAUACAGUUUAGGAACUUCCUGGGUUGCCUGUACAGAGCCUGUUGCCAUCCUAGCAGAUGUCUGGAUGGUUUAAUCCCCCAUGAGGACAAGGAAGGUUAGAAAAAAUUCUGCUAGUUGUCUGUAAAAACUGUCCACUGCCUCCUUUUGGUUAAGUGGUCUGUAAGGCAUCCCAGUCACAACAUCUUUGGUCUUACCUUCCCCUCUAAUCUUGACAUAGAGACUGUAAGCAUGUCCUCAGUUUCAAAUUGGAGUUUUGUGAAAUUACAAAGCUCCUCUGCACAUACUUCCUCCUCUUCUUCCCUGCCCGUCCUUCCUAACCAGCCUGAUCUCAUCCAUGAUGGUGCUCUAGUUGUGCAUGCU